rnacentral:rRNA from 1 species
CUCCUACUGGAGGCAGCAGUGAGGAAUAUUGGUCAAUGGGCGCGAGCCUGAACCAGCCAAGUAGCGUGAAGGAUGAAGGUCCUACGGAUUGUAAACUUCUUUUAUAAGGGAAUAAAGUCGCCUACGUGUAGGCGUUUGUAUGUACCUUAUGAAUAAGCAUCGGCUAACUCCGUGCCAGCAGCCGCGGUAAUACGGAGGAUGCGAGCGUUAUCCGGAUUUAUUGGGUUUAAAGGGAGCGUAGACGGAGGAUUAAGUCAGUUGUGAAAGUUUGCGGCUCAACCGUAAAAUUGCAGUUGAUACUGGUCCCCUUGAGUGCAGUUGAGGCAGGCGGAAUUCGUGGUGUAGCGGUGAAAUGCUUAGAUAUCACGAAGAACCCCGAUUGCGAAGGCAGCCUGCUAAGCUGUAACUGACGUUGAUGCUCGAAAGUGUGGGUAUCAAACAGGAUUAGAUACCCUGGUAGUCCACACGGUAAACGAUGGAUACUCGCUGUUGGCGAUAUACUGUCAGCGGCCAAGCGAAAGCAUUAAGUAUCCCACCUGGGGAGUACGCCGGCAACGGUGAAACUCAAAGGAAUUGACGGGGGCCCGCACAAGCGGAGGAACAUGUGGUUUAAUUCGAUGAUACGCGAGGAACCUUACCCGGGCUUAAAUUGCAGACGAAUUACCUGGAAACAGGUAAGCCGCAAGGCGUCUGUGAAGGUGCUGCAUGGUUGUCGUCAGCUCGUGCCGUGAGGUGUCGGCUUAAGUGCCAUAACGAGCGCAACCCUCGUGGUCAGUUACUAACAGGUCAAGCUGAGGACUCUGGCCAGACUGCCAUCGUAAGAUGCGAGGAAGGUGGGGAUGACGUCAAAUCAGCACGGCCCUUACGUCCGGGGCUACACACGUGUUACAAUGGGAGGUACAGAAGGCAGCUACCCGGCGACGGGAUGCCAAUCUCCAAAACCUCUCUCAGUUCGGACUGGAGUCUGCAACCCGACUCCACGAAGCUGGAUUCGCUAGUAAUCGCGCAUCAGCCACGGCGCGGUGAAUACGUUCCCGGGCCUUGUACACACCGC